rnacentral:lncRNA from 1 species
UUCAAUUACACCUUCAUCCAACAUUUCUUGGAUGUCUUUUCGAACUUGACGACACCCUCUCUGAUUGAUAGUGGAAACACGACAUUUGUCAUGGUCAUGCUCGUAGUGACUGUAUUCACACAACCGUCUGUGCAUCUCGACCAAUGAUUGUCGGAUAUGGCUGACAUAUCUGACCUUGUAUUUACCAGGGCAACCCUGAACCAUGUUGAC